UUUUUUUUUUUUUUUUUUUUUGCUUUUCAGGGCCGCACCCUCAGCAUAUGGAGGUUCCCAGGCUAGGGGUUGAAUUGGAGCUGUAGCCGCCGGCCUACACCACAGUCACAGCAACACAGGAUCUGAGCCACAUCUGCGACCUACACCACAAUUCACAGCAACACCAGAUCCUUAACCCACUGACCAAGGCCAGGGAUCCAGCCCACAUGGUUCCUAGUUAACCACUGAGCCAGGACGGAAACUCCAAAGCCAUUAUUAACUUUAAAUGAAUGUGAUACUCCCUCAUUGGCUUUCUUGUACCAUACACGUUAUUGACCCUUAAACCUAGUGUUCUUGUUCAGAGGCAUGUUUGAUAUUGUUAUUUUUCUAUUUAAAAUCUUUCAAUGAUUCCUAAAAGCCCUUGGGGCGGGGGGUGGGGGGGACAUACUUUAACAAGACAUUCAUGGUCUCUUUUGCUCAUUGCAAGUGACACCAUCCAUUCUCAAUCCUAUCCUCCUACUAUGCAUUAAAGUAAUUUUAGGAAUUGAAACUUGCUUCAGAGGCAGAUCCUCCUUAGUCGAGCCAUUCAUGAUGAUCCCAUCCGACUUGCCAAUAACUGAUUCCAGAACUCAGGACCGAGACAGCUGAUGCUGGCUAUUCUGCCUGUGACAUUUACUGAUGGAGCUGUGGAUGUGGUGACUAGGUUGAUCCAAUCUAAGACUGAAAAGAAGAACUUUUAUUCCAGAAAUGGGGAGUCCUUUGUCUUCCCACAUUGAGGUACACAAAUGAAAAAAAAAAUGAGGGCUUGAUUACUCUGGGUUGUUAUAUUAAUAGGCUGUAGUUGAUGUGGAAGGCAAAGCAAAAUGAUGGAAGAAACCAACCAACCAUGAACAUGCCAUGAUUUUUUUUAGAAAGUGAUUUGAAAUCAUCAUAAACGUUUUAAGGCUUUUUAUGAACUGGUCCCUAAUUACCUUUCCAGCUUCACCUCUUCUUAUGCAUCUUCUUACCCUCAAAAUGUCAUCUCAGAACCAAGCAGCAUAGGUAUGACCAGAGAUUUGGUUAGAAAUACAGAAUUUCAGGUCCUACCUUAGACCAAGAAUCCACAGUUUAAUAGGAUUCCUAGGUUACUAUAUGCACAUGGGGGUUGGAAAGCAGUGCUUUUGACCAGUGGUUCUCCAAGUGUGGCUUCCAGACCAGUAGCAUCGGGAUAAAUAUCACCUAGGAAUCUAUCAGGAAUACUAAUGCUCAGGCCCCCAGAUCUAUUGGAUCAGAAAUUCUGGGGGUGGUAUUCCAGUAAUAUGUGUUUUAAUGGCUCUGUCACUUCUCCUCCAACACCAUGCAUGGUGUUUGUAUCUUUAGGUGAUGCAGAUACUGUCUCUAGACCACUCUUUUGAGAACUACUGGUCUAUUCCACUGUUUCCUAAACUUGGCUGCACCUUAUGGUCAUUUAGAGAGCUUUAUAACUUACUGAUGUCUACAUGGCAUUCCCAGAGAAUUCUGACAUAAUAUAUGUAUAGAGUAAAACCUGGAAACUGGGGAGUUUUUAAAGCUAAUUUUUAGCAAAUUCGAGACCACUGAUCUGCGCUCUAACCAUACUGAACUAUUUUUGCUCUUUCUCCAAACCUACAAAAUUUCUGUUUUUUUUUUUUUUUUUCUAAACCAAGUCAUCUGAUUCUCUCCUCUCACCUUCAUUCUUCACUCGACUGACUCGUAUAUGCCUUUUACAACUCACUGCAGGUAUCACCUCUUGCCGGAAGUUUUCUGUGAUGCCAAGUUUGGAUGAAGCGCCCCAGCCAUAUACUUACACAACAGCCAGAGCAAUUCCUACACUGUUGUUCACUUUGUUUCUUCCAACCAGUCUUCUUCAUGGAAUUAACAGUCUUUUUGAGUGCAGAAAGUUAGCCAUAUACACGGUUUCAUUCCUGUGUCUACCAAGACAUGCACAAAAAUGGGUGCUCAAUAAGUGUCUUGUUGACAUUAGGACAGGAAUUGUGUCUUCAGCUUCCUUGAGAUGGUCAUAGCUCCUCAAAAAUACUUAUAGACUUUUUAUAAUUCCAUCUUAAAGGAAUGUUUUCCAUUUAUGUUGUGAGCCACCUGGGAAGUCCAGGAAUGCUUUCCAUUUAAAAGCUCCCAAAUAAACUAGGAAAAGCUAUAGAUGAGAAGAAUUGGAGGGAAAUAAAACCAGGGAAACUUGCUUACCAUCAUCGAUGUACUGCUGAACGACGUUGCAUAAAAUGAGCUGCUUUUCCCUGGGACCAGGAUGUUCAAUCUGACUAAGACUGGAUUAUCAUGAUGACUAUAUACAGCAUUGAUGUGAUUAAGAGUUGAGUUGGGGGCAGAAAAUUCCAGCUGGGCUACUUACUCAUGGUGUCUCUCGGCAGCUGCUUGACUUCUUUAAGCCUCAUGGUCUUUACUUCUAAGAUGGAUAAUGUUUGCCUUACAGGGAAAUGGAAGGCUUAAACGAGCAUCCAUGAGGAUGCAGGCUCGAUCCCUGGCCUUGCUCAGUGGGUUAAGGAUCUGGUGUUGCUCAACCAGUUGCUCUGUGGUGUAGGUUGCAGACACAGCUUGGAUCCCAAGUUGUUGUGGCUGUUGUAUAGGCCAGCAGCUGCAACUCCAAUUUCACCCAAGCCUGAGAACUUCCAUAUGCCACAGGUGUGGCCC
rnacentral:lncRNA from 1 species